UCCAAACACAAGAACAAUUGACCGCCACGGUCGUAUCGACUGAUCGGAGAAAGGAGGUUGCGGUUGUUCAGGGCCGGCCGGCCGGCCGGGACUUGGGCUUUCAGCGAUUUUCUCUUCCGCGACCAGGCCAAACCAACCCCAACCAUCACAGAUAUCAUGUCUUCCAAGCAAGGUGGAAAAGCAAAGCCUCUGAAGCACCCAAAGGCUGAGAAGAAAGAAUACGACGAGGUUGAUAAGGCUAAUAUUCAGAAGAAGAAACAAGAGGAAAAGGCACUGAAGGAGCUGAGAGCCAAGGCAUCCCAAAAGGGUACAUUCGGAGGUGCGGGCCGCCUCAAGAAAAGCGGGAAGAAAUGAGUGUUCACCACAAUAUCAUUAGAGAAACUAGAGGUGAUUGCAUACGGUCAAUUUGAUAAAAUGAUCCUUUGAAGCAUGGGAUGACAUCAAACUCAUCCUUCCAAGCAAGCUACAUACCUGUAAUCUCCUCCGACUGUGUGAACUGAAGAGGAACUAAGUUGCAUUCCCAUUCAUUUACAAAGCUUGGGUGCUUGUCGCUCAAUGUUACUCUGAAUCUUUGAUAUUUUCUUGUGGUUAAUUUGGAUGAAAAAAGGAUGACAGUUUUAUGAAAUAUAUUAGUCUAUUGGUAGAAUUCCUUA